GAUGAACGCUAGCGGCAGGCUUAAUACAUGCAAGUCGUGGGGCAGCACAGUGUAGCAAUACAAUUGAUGGCGACCGGCAAACGGUUGCGGAACACGUACACAACCUUCCAAUAAGUGGGGAAUAGCCCAGAGAAAUUUGGAUUAAUACCCCGUAACAUAACGAUGUGGCAUCACAUUGUUAUUAUAGAUUUUUCGCUUAUUGAUGGGUGUGCGGCUGAUUAGAUAGUUGGCGGGGUAACGGCCCACCAAGUCUACGAUCAGUAGCUGAUGUGAGGGCAUGAUCAACCACACGGGCACUGAGACACGGGCCCGACUCCUACGGGAGGCAGCAGUAAGGAAUAUUGGACAAUGGACGCAAGUCUGAUCCAGCCAUGCCGCGUGAAGGAUUAAGGUCCUCUGGAUUGUAAACUUCUUUUAUAAGGGACGAAAAAAGGCUUUUCUAAGUCGUCUGACGGUACCUUAUGAAUAAGCACCGGCUAACUCCGUGCCAGCCGCCGCCGUAAAAC
rnacentral:rRNA from 1 species